GCUUGGCGAGGUCUGCUGCUUGGCGUGGCCGGGUGAAUGCUCUCCUUUGUUCUGGGAAUUCUCACAGGCGUGCGAGCUGAGACUCGUGAGGUGAGAUUGUUCCGGUGGUUUAUGCCACGCUCAAAGGGUCCAGUCAGUGUGUGAAGAUACUAGAAGCGUGGCGACUUUCCCGCUGUCUGACGUGGAGAAGUGAAGCCUUGGAAGCCGGGCUGGUGGAGUACGGGGAGUGUCCAAUUCAGCUCCUCCCGUGUGUGUGAUCACCUGUUCCCCUCCUCGCUGAUGCUCCUCCCCCUGCAAUAGUGCUACUGUUUUUUUUUUUCUCUAUUGUUUUUUUUCUCUUUCCUUAUUGUGUUUUUUUUGUUUUUCUACUUAUUUGUUACGCUUCGUGUUAAUUAUUUGUAUACCUACUCAGUCCUGGUUUGUGAGCUGCCUCUGGUGAGCGGCAGCAGAUUAUUUUAGCAUUUGUGAU